rnacentral:misc_RNA from 1 species
AAUUCUCAAAACCCUUUUCUUUGAUCGGAAGAGGGCUUUUGGACUUGGAGGUUCCAUGCUUGCUUUUGCCUUUGAAGGUGAGCUCCUCUCAAAUGAAUUAGUGGGGUCCGCUUUGUCGAUCCUCGACGUGAUAAGAUGUUUCUACGUUUUGGAUUUGGCACCGCCUUUCGGAAGCCCGCUCCUAAUCGUCCGCAUGGACAAACGAUGGUGCUCCGGUCCGUCGCCAAAUCUACGUUGGCGGGGGGCUUGACCCACGACCAAAA